GAUGAACGCUGGCGGCGUGCCUCAAACAUGCAAGUCGAGCGGGGCUAUGUAAUAUCGCAAGGUAGAACAUAGCCUAGCGGCGAACGGGUGAGUAACACGUGGGUAACCUGCCUGGAAGACAGGGAUAACGAUUCGAAAGGGUCGCUAAUACCUGAUAAUAUCCUUUCAUCGCAUGGUGAUAGGAAGAAAGGGGAAACCCGCUUUCAGAUGGGCCCGCGUCCCAUCAGCUAGUUGGUAAGGUAAAGGCUUACCAAGGCGACGACGGGUAGCCGGUCUGAGAGGAUGUACGGCCACACUGGGACUGAGAUACGGCCCAGACUCCUACGGGAGGCAGCAGUUGGGAAUCUUAGGCAAUGGACGAAAGUCUGACCUAGCGACGCCGCGUGAGGGAAGAAGGGCCUUCGGGUUGUAAACCUCUGUCAUGGGGGAAGAAGUAAGUGACGGUACCCCAAGAGGAAGUCCCGCUAACUACGUGCCAGCAGCCGCGGUAAAAGUACUCUAAU
rnacentral:rRNA from 1 species